AGAGUUUGAUCCUGGCUCAGGAUGAACGCUGGCGGCGUGCUUAACACAUGCAAGUCGAACGGACGCUUUGGGAAACUGAAGCGUUAGUGGCAAACGGGUGCGUAACACGUGGGUGACCUACCCCAAAGUGGGGAACAACGGACCGAAAGGUUCGCUAAUACCGCAUUAGCUCGGAGAUUCAUUUUUCCGAGUAAAGCCGCAAGGCGCUUUGGGAGGGGCCCGCGGCCCAUCAGGUAGUUGGUGAGGUAAAGGCCCACCAAGCCGAUGACGGGUAGCUGGUCUGAGAGGAUGAUCAGCCACACUGGCACUGAGAUACGGGCCAGACUCCUACGGGAGGCAGCAGUGAGGAAUAUUGCGCAAUGGGGGAAACCCUGACGCAGCGACGCCGCGUGGGCGAUGAAGGCCUUCGGGUCGUAAAGCCCUUUUGUCAGGGACGAGUGAGGACGGUACCUGGCGAAUAAGUCUCGGCUAACUACGUGCCAGCAGCCGCGGUAAUUC
rnacentral:rRNA from 1 species